AUUGAACGCUGGCGGCAGGCCUAACACAUGCAAGUCGAGCGGAUGAAGGGAGCUUGCUCCUGGAUUCAGCGGCGGACGGGUGAGUAAUGCCUAGGAAUCUGCCUGGUAGUGGGGGAUAACGUCCGGAAACGGGCGCUAAUACCGCAUACGUCCUGAGGGAGAAAGUGGGGGAUCUUCGGACCUCACGCUAUCAGAUGAGCCUAGGUCGGAUUAGCUAGUUGGUGGGGUAAAGGCCUACCAAGGCGACGAUCCGUAACUGGUCUGAGAGGAUGAUCAGUCACACUAGAACUGAGACACGGUCCAGUCUCCUACGGGAGGCAACAGUGGGGAAUAUUGGACAAUGGGCGAAAGCCUGAUCCAGCCAUACCGCGUGUGUGAAGAAGGUCUUCGGAUUGUAAAGCACUUUAAGUUGGGAGGAAGGGCAGUAAGUUAAUACCUUGCUGUUUUGACGUUACCAACAGAAUAAGCACCGGCUAACUUCGUG
rnacentral:rRNA from 1 species